rnacentral:rRNA from 1 species
UACGAAGGGGGCUAGCGUUGCUCGGAAUCACUGGGCGUAAAGCGCACGUAGGCGGGUCGUUAAGUCGGAGGUGAAAUCCUGGAGCUCAACUCCAGAACUGCCUUCGAUACUGGCGAUCUUCGAGUCCGGGAGAGGUGAGUGGAACUCCGAGUGUAGAGGUGAAAUUCGUAGAUAUUCGGAAGAACACCAGUGGCGAAGGCGGCUCACUGGCCCGGUACUGACGCUGAGGUGCGAAAGCGUGGGGAGCAAACAGG